rnacentral:pre_miRNA from 1 species
GUGGCUGCCCGCUGGGUGCCUUCUACUGGUGCUGUGCAGAGGCUUUCCCUAAGGCUGCUGUGAGCCUGUAGGGUUUCCCCGUAGACUACGGAGCUGG